ACCCAAAUCAAGCCCAGGUAGCCGGCCCACAGAAUUGUUUCGCUUAAUGUAUUAAAUAGAACGGAGCGACGUCGUCUAUACGCAAAAGAUUCUGCAGAGUCCCCUCUCUCUCUCUCUCUGAGGCAGUCGGUCCCUCUUUCCAGUUUCCAUGGCGAAUCAAGCUACUUCUUCAUCAUCCUCCCCUGGUCCACAGGAACACCGACUUGAAGGUCAAGCAGGAGAGGAAGACUUAUUAACACUGUACGGAGCAGAGUCAGGGUGGGUUGAAGCUCGGACUCAUUGCGAUCAUUUGGAUGCCCUAUCUUCCGAUCUCGCUCACAUUCCUACCCCCGAUACUCCUUGCUACAGGUGUCAACACCCGAGUGAGAACUGGUUAUGUUUAUGCUGUAAGGAAGUGCUCUGCAGCCGUUUCGUGAACAAGCACAUGCUCCAGCAUUACCAGCAGACAAAUCAUUGUCUGGCACUCAGCUACAGUGAUCUUUCCAUUUGGUGUUUCUCUUGUGACGCAUAUUUGGAUGCUCAGAUGAUUCAACAACUGCGGUCUGUUCAUGAGAUAGCAUACAUACUGAAAUUCGGCGAGGCUCCGCCGUUUCGGGCGGUUUAAUGGUUGACCUUAAGUCAUUAUCAAUCUGAGGCUUGAAGGUUCAACAUCAGGCAGUGGCAAGUUUCUCGUUGUAGCCUUGUAGACUUUGUGCACAGAAUGGGAUGGUGUUUGAAGUUUGAACUGACUAUAUAUAAUCAGCAUCAUCGCCCAUGAGUCUCAGAAUAUCAGAGCUUUUUUUCUGCAAUGGUGGGAGGACAUAAAGAGGAAACAAAUAGAGAGAAAAAAAUUAUCAAAAUGGCCACUAAUGCCUUGUAAUCAGAGAAGAUUCAAGGCAGCUUGCUAAUAAGGAUCUCACCUCAAUGUUCUUCAAGGCAAAAACCAGUGUGUGAAUUGACUUUUGAAUCAGUUCAGUGUUUUCAGGGGUCAUGAUGGAUGAA